GAUCAAGUGAAUAAGUGCAUAUGGUGAAUGCCUUGGCGAUUACAGGCGAUGAAGGACGUGGUAGUCUGCGAAAUUUUUCGGGGAGCUGACAAACAAGCUUUGAUCCGGAAGUGUCCGAAUGGGGAAACCCACCCGCAAGGGUAUCCAUCUCUGAAUACAUAGGAGAUGUGAAGCGAACCGAGUGAACUGAAACAUCUAAGUAACUCGAGGAAAAGAAAUCAACCGAGAUUCCGGCAGUAGUGGCGAGCGAAACCGGAACAGCCUGUUAUUUUUAGCACAUGCGUUAAUAGAACGGAAUGGAAAGUCCGGCCAAAGAGGGUGAUAGCCCCGUAUAUGAAAACCCGUGUGUGGAACUAGGAUAACGACAAGUAGGGCGGGACACGUGAAAUCCUGUCUGAAUAUGGGGGGACCAUCCUCCAAGGCUAAAUACUCGUAAUCGACCGAUAGUGAACUAGUACCGUGAGGGAAAGGUUAAAAGAACCCCGGAAGGGGAGUGAAAUAGAUCCUGAAACCGUAUGCAUACAAACAGUAGGAGCGGACUUGUUCCGUGACUGCGUACCUUUUGUAUAAUGGGUCAGCGACUUACAUUCAGUAGCAAGCUUAACCGAUAGGGGAGGCGUAGCGAAAGCGAGUCCUAAUAGGGCGAUUCAGUUGCUGGGUGUAGACCCGAAACCAAGUGAUCUAUCCAUGGCCAGGAUGAAGGUGCAGUAACAUGUACUGGAGGUCCGAACCCACAAAUGUUGAAAAAUUUGGGGAUGAGCUGUGGAUAGGGGUGAAAGGCUAAACAAACUUGGAGAUAGCUGGUUCUCUCCGAAAACUAUUUAGGUAGUACCUCGUAUCUUACUCUCGGGGGUAGAGCACUGUUAUGGCUAGGGGGUCCUUACGGACUUACCAAACCAUUGCAAACUCCGAAUACCGAGAAGUACAAUUACGGGAGACAGACAUCGGGUGCUAACGUCCGGUGUCAAGAGGGAAACAACCCAGACCGCCAGCUAAGGUCCCAAAUGAUAUGCUAAGUGGUAAACGAAGUGAGAAGGCCCAGACAGCCAGGAGGUUGGCUUAGAAGCAGCCACCCUUUAAAGAAAGCGUAAUAGCUCACUGGUCGAGUCGUCUUGCACGGAAGAUGUAACGGGGCUAAGCAUAUAACCGAAGCUGCGGAUGCGUGUUUACACGCAUGGUAGGAGAGCGUUCUG
rnacentral:rRNA from 1 species